GCUCUAGGGACAUGGCUGUUGACCUUUCAUGGAAGGCACUGAGAUACAGUGAUGGUCACUGCUAUAAACUCUGAGAGAACCCGUUGGUGAGAAGAGGUGAGUUCUGAAGAGAUGAAUUCUGAUGGAGUCUGACUGAGCACAUUUCCCACGGAAGUGCUUAUCAGAGUAGAGAACUGAGUUUUGCGGGCUGGCAUCACCGGUAGAGUUACUAAGGAGAAUAGGAGACAGUCCAGCAAGGGAUCCAUUCUCCCAGAGAACCAGGAGCUGUUUGUAACCCCCAGAGCAGUGCAGCCAGUCACAGAACAGCAUCAUGGCCAAGCGUGAUGCUGGAGAAGGCACCUCUGCUGAAAGAGGGAAGCAGAAAUCUGAGUGAUGUGGGGAGCGAGGGCACCAUGUGUCAAGCAUUCCCAGGGACUGUCCAUUUCACAGCUCCUUGCAAAUCUGCCUGGUGUCAACACUAGGGGGCAGCCUGAGCCUGGAAGAUGAGGUUAUUCGAUCUGCCUGCUGAAGGUCAGUGUCUAAUGGAGUCCAUGCUCACUGUUGCACAAGUAGGGGGAGCAUAGGAACAGGAA